ACGUGCCCCAACAAAUCGAACCUCGGCCGUCCGCGUGGCAGGCGAGCAUUCUACCACUGAACCACAG